CCAUGGAAAGAAAGAGAAGAGGGAGAGGAAGAAAAUUUGGAGCCUUACCUGAGCUCCGGUGGCCUCUUCGACCUUCAAUUUUUGAUGAACACGAGAAGAGGCUGCUGCAGGUUCCACGGAGAAGAGGAGGAUUUAAGCUUGAAGAUCGCCGGUGGAGGUUUGAGAGGGAGAGGGGAGGCUUAUUCAUGGAGGAUCCUAGAGUUUUAAGAGUCCUAGAACUCUUCUC
rnacentral:lncRNA from 1 species